UCCUAAGAUUGGGCUCCAAAACUGAAAUCCAAUUGAAAUAAAAAAGGCGGAGCUGCAGUACUUGGCGUUUUCGAUUUCCUCCCGAAAUUUCACUUCCCCCUCCCCGACUUGCACUCCCGCCGAUUUUUCUUUGCCAAAAGUUAAACUUCCCACUUGUUUUUUUGCACACAAAUUCCCACUCUGGCCUCUAUUUUUUCAUUGACCUACCUCUCUCUCUCUCUCUCUCUCUGCAUCUCUUCCUCAUCGAAUUCAAUCACCACAGACGAGUAUUCUCUCUCCUUCUCGAUCUGUCUAUACCGUUUUCUUCUCGCCAGAUCUGUGUGCUUUGGUGCUGGGUAACAAUUGUUUCUUCAUGAUUCCCCGUUGGUUUUCUUUCACCAGGAUCUACGAGCUUUCUCCGUUGCCAUUAACGAGGAUCCGAUCUAAGAGUCUUGACUGGCGGUGGCUUUCUUCUCAUCCAAAUCAGAAUUAGAUGGAUGCCAAGCCUAAACCCUCUCAUCCUCUUUGCAAUGAUGUCGCCGUCAUCUCUCCGCAAACCACCGACCUCACCGCCUACCCUAGACGCCUCCGCGAUGUCGUUCUUCACCCAUAUCAUCCACCGUCCUCACCAAAUCGAACUUUUGGUAAUAAUUAUUAUAAGGUUUUGUUGGGUUUUGGUUAGUUCAUCAGUUUGGCUCCAAAUAUGUCUUACACAUCUCAUAUCAUCCACCACUCCAAAAAGGUCCGCUCUUCAAUUGAAUUUGGUUUUGAUUCUAAUCUGGGUGAUGCUGUUUACUUUGAUUCUAAUCUGGGUGAUGCUGUUUACUUUGAUUCUAAUCUGGGUGAUGCUGUUUACUUUCAUUAAUUUAUGACAUAUUUAUUCUGUUUUCUUUCUCCAAAUUUUGUUAUAGGAUUAUGUGCCUACAGUGUUUGACAACAUCAGUGCUAAUUUGGUGGCGGAUGCACAGUUAACCUUGGAUUGUCGGACACUGCAGGCUGAGCAUCUUGCUGGGUUUGUUCUUUCUAAGUUAGUAAGCUUGCAUGAAUUCAAUGGAUGGAUGGACAGCUCAAGAAAGUAUUGAAACUCCAGACUUACUAUUUCAAUUUAUUAUAAAUAAGUUCUAGCACUUAGAGGAAAGGACUACGGCAAGUCAAAGAUGAGUUAUCUGGGCCAUGAUUUCAGGUUAUUCUUAUUCUUACUAUCUAGUAAUCAUUUAAGUAAGUUUUAAUGGAUUUAAGCUCAGCUUUGUGCAAUCAGAUAUGGGAAAUCGUUGAAUUCCAGUUGUCAAGUAUUCGUUUCUGUUUCGGUGCGCCUGUGAGUAUUUUUCUGUGUUCUCCAUUUUCAGUUCAGUUUUGAAGUAUUGUUUUCAUGUGUGUGUGACUAAGAGAAUGACAUUGCUGUGAUGUUUGUAUAUAAAGGCAUCUCAUUUCUGUUUUGCGCAUUUUCAAAUAGGUCCAUUUUCCUGUGGGAAACUGGGAAUCUUUGUAUAUAAGUAUCUUUGUUUAAAGAAAGAACUCAUUUUUUGUUGUUGUUAUCAUCUCAGUGGGCAUUGAUGGCUUAUUUAGAAAUUUCGAGAUUCUCAAGAAAACUGGGUUGAACAAAUGUCUGAGGUCCAGAUCGUGCAAUGUGUUUCAUUCUAAAGCCUGUAGACAAAAAAUGCGGAGGGACAGACUGAAUGGCAAGUUAUGAUUGAAGAUAUUGGGAAGCAGAUUAAGCAACUAUAAACCUACAAGGUGCAGGACAUUGAUUUACUUGACUAGAAUUGUUGAACUGUAAUUUGUUAUACUUUAUAAAUUUGUAUGCAUAUGGUGUAUUUUGAUUUAGUUAAUAUUGCAUUUGGUGGUGUAUUUUGAGGGGUGUACAAUUGGAGAAAGCUUCCUUUUAUUAUUAAUUAAAUUUUUUUUUUGGGUUU